GAGAAUAUAGCAUAUAUAUGCAUUAGAUUUAAAAUCUAGAGAUUUUAUUCUUA
rnacentral:tRNA from 1 species